rnacentral:lncRNA from 1 species
AUGUCUCACAAUCCGAUCACACUGAUGCAAGAGGUGGGUUUCCAGGGUCUUGUUGACCAUUUCCCUUUGAGAUUGAUUGUGAGAAGUGGGAUUGAUGACAGACAUAGGUAAAUUUUUAAAAUAUUAGUGUUCUCAAAGUUAACAUUCUUGAUUUUAACUAUUUGGAGACAACAUCAAAAGGGUGGGAUGUGAUCAUCUGUUAUUUUGGUGAGGCUUAAUUUUGAACAAAGUAAAUGCUUAGGAUUAUGUGCAGAAGUAAGUCAUUUGGGAGUAAAUUAGUCUAGCCCACUGUCCUGCAGACACAUAUAAACAAAGUUUUAUAGUUUGUUCUUGUUGUAGGAUCCAAGAAUAGCCCUCAAGUUUCCUGAAUCCUGCACCCUCUAGGAGCAACUACAACUGUGAAAUCAAGCUUUGAUUAAUGUCAGAAAUACGCUGGAUUUGUUACCAGCUAGGAACUUGGAAGUAACAGGAACUUGCUUCUGAAACUGGAAGUUUGGCUCUGGAUGGCCUGAUCUUUGUAGCUGUUUCUGCCCAAAUGGAUUCUCAUCUCAUUUCCUUAUAUUAAAGGAAUUUGUGUCUUUUGCUUGGGUCUGUGGGUAUUUUUGCUAGCAUUGUGUAGUAGUCAAGAGAAUAGGACAUGAGCAAGGGUAUCUGCAUUUGAAACUGGCUCUGCCACUU